AAUUAAGGUUUUAACCCGCGGUUUACCGCGGACAAUCAAUUUAUUUGGUUCUUAUAUUAA
rnacentral:sRNA from 1 species